CCUACGGGGGGCAGCAGUAGGGAAUUUUCGGCAAUGGGGGAAACCCUGACCGAGCAACGCCGCGUGAAGGAAGAAGGUUUUCGGAUUGUAAACUUCUGUUAUAAAGGAAGAACGGCGGCUACAGGAAAUGGUAGCCGAGUGACGGUACUUUAUUAGAAAGCCACGGCUAACUACGUGCCAGCAGCCGCGGUAAUACGUAGGUGGCAAGCGUUAUCCGGAAUUAUUGGGCGUAAAGAGGGAGCAGGCGGCAGCAAGGGUCUGUGGUGAAAGCCUGAAGCUUAACUUCAGUAAGCCAUAGAAACCAGGCAGCUAGAGUGCAGGAGAGGAUCGUGGAAUUCCAUGUGUAGCGGUGAAAUGCGUAGAUAUAUGGAGGAACACCAGUGGCGAAGGCGACGAUCUGGCCUGCAACUGACGCUCAGUCCCGAAAGCGUGGGGAGCAAAUAGGAUUAGAUACCCCGGUAGUC
rnacentral:rRNA from 1 species